AGAAAAUUUCCUCUGCAGUAUUAUUGAGGUUCAAAAAUGCAAUUGGAACUAUAGUUAAGUUUGGAUAAUCAGUGCAACUUUGUGUUAGGUUGAAGAUCUUCUUCUUUAAACCUGACAACAUGGAGAUUGUGUAGACCAACUUGAUGUUACUUGCAUUUCAUACAGCAUUAGUUAUCAAAGUGGCUUUAUUGCAGUGUGUCACAUGAAGGUGCUAUUUUAUUUUGCAUUGAAACUUCAGUGUUGAAUUUAUGAAGAAACAUUCUCAAGUCUGCAGCAAAAGCAAAUUUCCAAACCCAUCCAAUAUUCAGAAACAGUAACUGAGUGUGAUUCUUCUUAUUCAUAAUAAUUUCAGUCUUUUUCCAAGGUAAAAAUAAAAAUAAAACUAUGCCUAUGCCAUCAAAUUGCUGUGUAGUUGGGCCAGUCAGGAUAUUCAUCUUUGAUUUCUGAUAAAACUUAACAGAUCUUAUGAUAGUUUAAAGGAUAGUUUUCACAAAAUACCUACUGGUGGAUAGCACAGUGUGUAACUAUCAACUUCAAAGCUUUGUAGAUCUGUUCAGCUGUGUGUGUGUGUGUGUGUGUGUGUGUGUGUCUUUCCUACUUCACCUAUAUUUCUGCCACCAUCGCUUGCAAAAUAGCAGAUUCCAUUUCAGGUUGUACUGAAUUGGUAAUUUCUUCUUUAAAAAUAUUGUUCCAUGUAGAUUGUUCUUAAAAAGCUCAUUUCAAUCUUAACAUUGAUUUCUUAAGUAAACAAUCACUAGGCAGGAUUGGUAACAUCUGCUGACUCAUCAGAAGCCAAGGAGAACUUGAAAUCACUUGCUUAUUUUUAAACUGAUGAUUGACACCGCAGUGACCUAAUGUCUUCAAGCAAGUGUUAAUGCUAAAAAGUUGGAGAUAAUACCUACAGUGCGGCAUGUUGUGUGGAUUAACAGAAAUCUUUUUAAUGUAUUAAAUAGUAUAUAGAGAGAUUUCCAUCCAAAUGUAUUAACAAGUUCUGGCUCCUGGAUUAGAAAUCGUUAAUGGCUGAGACUAUAUACCUGUGCUGAGUACUUAUUCCUUAAGAAAGCCACU
rnacentral:lncRNA from 1 species